UGUCAAGAAAACCUGUAUCCCUCCAUGUGGGUGUCCAGAACUAAUGGAUGGCCACCGGAUGCCACAAGAGGAAAUCAGGAUCACUAGAUGAGACCUCUUAGCUCCAGUCCAAGAGGCCCUUUGCUGAUUCCAACCGCAACAUCCAACAUCGGCCACUAAUUCAGCCAGCUGAGAGCCUAUGAAUGGACGUGCAGCCAGAGAGGUUUCACAUCACCGAUUCCUGUAGGGAGACCCCCUGAAACUACUGCUAUGGAAUAAAAGAUGAAAUGCUCCUGA